GAUGAACGCUAGCUACCGGUUUAACACAUGCAAGUCGAGGGGCAUCAGGAAGAAAGCUUGCUUUCUUUGCUGGCGACCGGCGCACGGGUGAGUAACACGUAUCCAACCUGCCCUUUACUCGGGGAUAGCCUUUCGAAAGAAAGAUUAAUACCCGAUGGGAUAAUUAUUCCGCAUGGUUUGAUUAUUAAAGGAUUCCGGUAAAGGAUGGGGAUGCGUUCCAUUAGGUUGUUGGUGAGGUAACGGCUCACCAAGCCUUCGAUGGAUAGGGGUUCUGAGAGGAAGGUCCCCCACAUUGGAACUGAGACACGGUCCAAACUCCUACGGGAGGCGGCAGUGAGGAAUAUUGGUCAAUGGGCGCUAGCCUGAACCAGCCAAGUAGCGUGAAGGAUGAAGGCUCUAUGGGUCGUAAACUUCUUUUAUAUAAGAAUAAAGUGCAGUAUGUAUACUGUUUUGUAUGUAUUAUAUGAAUAAGGAUCGGCUAACUCCGUGCCAGCAGCCGCGGUAAUACGGAGGAUCCGAGCGUUAUCCGGAUUUAUUGGGUUUAAAGGGAGCGUAGGUGGACUGGUAAGUCAGUUGUGAAAGUUUGCGGCUCAACCGUAAAAUUGCAGUUGAUACUGUCAGUCUUGAGUACAGUAGAGGUGGGCGGAAUUCGUGGUGUAGCGGUGAAAUGCUUAGAUAUCACGAAGAACUCCGAUUGCGAAGGCAGCUCACUGGACUGCAACUGACACUGAUGCUCGAAAGUGUGGGUAUCAAACAGG
rnacentral:rRNA from 1 species